GAUGAACGCUGGCGGCGUGCCUAAUACAUGCAAGUCGAGCGAACAGACGCGGAGCUUGCUUCUCUGACGUUAGCGGCGGACGGGUGAGUAACACGUGGAUAACCUACCUAUAAGACUGGGAUAACUUCGGGAAACCGGAGCUAAUACCGGAUAAUAUAUUGAACCGCAUGGUUCAAUAGUGAAAGACGGUUUUGCUGUCACUUAUAGAUGGAUCCGCGCCGCAUUAGCUAGUUGGUAGGGUAACGGCUUACCAAGGCAACGAUGCGUAGGCGACCUGAGAGGGUGAUCGGCCACACUGGAACUGAGACACGGUCCAGACUCCUACGGGAGGCAGCAGUAGGGAAUCUUCCGCAAUGGGCGAAAGCCUGACGGAGCAACGCCGCGUGAGUGAUGAAGGUCUUCGGAUCGUAAAACUCUGUUAUUAGGGAAGAACAAAUGUGUAAGUAACUAUGCACGUCUUGACGGUACCUAAUCAGAAAGCCACGGCUAACUACGUG
rnacentral:rRNA from 1 species